UGAUUAAACACUCCCAGGUUCAAAUUGACCCACGAACAUUUUUGCUGUACCCUAGAAACGAACAUAACAGGAGGGUUAAAUGAACAAGCCGGUGCUGAUCGGCUCUCAAUAAGCCACAGGAUGAGCGGAACCAGCGGUAACUCCGAACAAAGCAGCAGCGAUCAUUGUGGAUAUACGGAAACUAUAGGAAAGGUUCUGAUCUGGUGGAGUGAAGAAACUGUGAAACAUGUUGCGGGAUAUAAAGUGGAAGAAAAGAUUUUACGUCUUUCAAAGAGAACUGGCACUGUAUGAGAAAUCUUUAGAUGUGAUGAUCGUAAGAUCCACAAGGUGGCGGUAAUGCAAUGACAUGAAUGAACGACAGUCAUAAA